rnacentral:misc_RNA from 1 species
GCUGCUCCGCUUCCGCCAGUCACGCGCUCUCGCGAUUCACCCAACGUGCGAAGCGCCGCCGUCCUCUCACGCACCGCCACCGUGCACACUCUCGCCUCGACCCCUUUUUUAGUGUACGUCUUUCCUCGUUCUCUCUUCGUUUUCUCUCUCUGUGCUGCCGCCUCCCGAGUGAUGGGCCGCCUUGAGAUCCGUGUCUGCGGCGCCCGCAAUGUGGCGAACGUGCAGAAGGUGGGUAAACCCGACCCGUACGUGAAGGUCAAGCUGGGUAGCAAUAAGAAGUCGCAGAUUAAAUACAAGACCCACGUAGCCGAGAACUGCCUUAACCCCGUCUGGAAUGAGCUCUUCAAGUUUCAGGUCGCUGACUACGACUCGAUGCAGGUGGUUUUCGAGCUGUGGAACGACAACGUCAUCGUAGACGACCUCCUCGGAAGCUACAGCCUCUCCCUCAACGGCCUAACCCGCGGCGUCGUCGUCGAUACCUGGGUGCUUCUCGAGGGAACGAAGGGCUCCCCCUCGGAGCUGCACUUGCGCGUCCUCGCUGUCGACUUUGGCCGCGAUCCGGGGCCUGGCGACCGGCUCACCUUAUCGCUCGAGGGGGACACCAUGGUGCCGUCUACGGGCCAGACAUACCGUCCACCGAAGAACUACGUGCCGCCAGCGCAAGGGAUUGUACUGCAGUCGUACCCCCCUGCUCCGCUCGGGCCCCCGCCGCCGGUAGUCUACAGCGCCUCGGCUGCGCCGAUGCCGCAAGUACAGUAUGGCUACAUGGCUCCACCACAACCGCAGGGGUACGCAUACGGUGCUCCUCCCCCACCGCCACAGCAGCCACCUUCACAGGGGUACGGCUACGGCGCUGCUCCGGCGCCGCAAAACUACAGCUAUGGCGCGCCCCCGCCCCCGCAGCCUAUGUAUGGCGCCCCGCAGCCGCCACAGUCUCUACCGUACGCUGCCGGUCCUCCGCCACCCCAGAUGUACGGCCCUCCUCCUCCGCAGCGGCGGCCGGUGCAGAUGGCCUACGGUAUCCCGCCCGACAUGUAAGCGAGGCUGCGGACACAAAGGGAGAAAACGCGCAUCGGCGCCUGCGAAGCGGGUGAAGAGAGGAUCGCCACGUGCGGUUGCCAGCGCAUCUUGCAGCGCCGUUUUACUCCCUCUCUCAUCUCCAUCGGCGAAGUCACGUGGGCCUGAACAUUCGAGCCUUUGUGUGGGCCCUACAUUUUGGUUGCUUGUGUCACCUGCUUCCCUUCUGAUGAUUUGCUGCUUUCCUCCCCUCCUCCUAUCUUUUGUUUGGCGGCACGUCUAGCUUCAGUGUUGCGCGCCGACAACGCGGAAUGCGGCUUUGGGGUUUGAGCUUGUCUCGCUCAUCUCACUUUAUUCUUGUCCUCUCAUGUGUCUCGCGUGUUGCCGGUCUCCCAUCGGCAUGGAUUCCUGUACGGCGGACACGGUUCCAGCGAUCGGGCUCGACUUCUCUUAAUGUGGUGUUUUUUUGUGUUGCAAUCCGCUGUUUUCUUUGGCGUUACUGUCAUGCUGCCGUCUGUGCACCAGUUUGGGUACUUGGAGCCGG